rnacentral:rRNA from 1 species
UACUUCAGGGGUAGGGGUGAAAUCUUGUAAUCCUUGAAGGACCACCAGUGGCGAAGGCGUCUCACCAGAACGGACCUGACGGCAAGGGACGAAAGCUAGGGGCACGAACCGGAUUAGAUACCCGGGUAGUCCUAGCCGUAAACGAUACUCGCUAGGUGUCGGCAACGGUGCGACCGUUGUCGGUGCCGUAGGGAAGCCGUGAAGCGAGCCACCUGGGAAGUACGGCCGCAAGGCUGAAACUUAAAGGAAU